UACGUAGGAUGCUAGCGUUGUCCGGAUUUACUGGGCGUAAAGCGCGCGCAGGCGGCACUGUAAGUAAGGUGUGAAAUAUCCCUGCUCAACGGGGAGGGUGCACUUUAGACUGCAGAGCUAGAGGACGGUAGAGGGGGGUGGAAUUGCUGGUGUAGCGGUGAAAUGCGUAGGGAUCAGCAGGAACACCCGUGGCGAAGGCGGCCCCCUGGGCCGAACCUGACGCUGAGGCGCGAAGGCUAGGGGAGCGAACGGG
rnacentral:rRNA from 1 species